rnacentral:rRNA from 1 species
GACGAACGCUGGCGGCGUGCUUAACACAUGCAAGUCGAACGGAAAGGCCCUGCUUGCAGGGUACUCGAGUGGCGAACGGGUGAGUAACACGUGGGUGAUCUGCCCUGCACUUCGGGAUAAGCCUGGGAAACUGGGUCUAAUACCGGAUAGGAGCCAUUUUUAGUGUGAUGGUUGGAAAGUUUUUUCGGUGUAGGAUGAGCUCGCGGCCUAUCAGCUUGUUGGGGGGGUAAUGGCCUACCAAGGCGGCGACGGGUAGCCGGCCUGAGAGGGUGGACGGCCACAUUGGGACUGAGAUACGGCCCAGACUCCUACGGGAGGCAGCAGUGGGGAAUAUUGCACAAUGGGCGCAAGCCUGAUGCAGCGACGCCGCGUGGGGGAUGACGGCCUUCGGGUUGUAAACUCCUUUCGCUAGGGACGAAGCUUUUUGUGACGGUACCUAGAUAAGAAGCACCGGCUAACUACGUG